rnacentral:rRNA from 1 species
GAUGAACGCUGGCGGCGUGCCUAAUACAUGCGAGUCGAGCGAACGGACGAGAAGCUUGCUUCUCUGAUGUUAGCGGCGGACGGGUGAGUAACACGUGGAUAACCUACCUAUAAGACUGGGAUAACUUCGGGAAACCGGAGCUAAUACCGGAUGAUAUUUUGAACCGCAUGGUUCAAAAGUGAAAGACGGUCUUGCUGUCACUUAUAGAUGGAUCCGCGCUGCAUUAGCUAGUUGGUAAGGUAACGGCUUACCAAGGCAACGAUGCAUAGCCGACCUGAGAGGGUAAUCGGCCACACUGGAACUGAGACACGGUCCAGACUCCUACGGGAGGCAGCAGUAGGGAAUCUUCCGCAAUGGGCGAAAGCCUGACGGAGCAACGCCGCGUGAGUGAUGAAGGUCUUCGGAUCGUAAAACUCUGUUAUUAGGGAAGAACAUAUGUGUAAGUAACUGUGCACAUCUUGACGGUACCUAAUCAGAAAGCCACGGCUAACUACGUG